rnacentral:lncRNA from 1 species
AACAAAUGCUAACAUGGCAACUUAUUUUAUGAAAAUAACCGGUAACUAAUAAUUUCAUGUUAAAAUGUGGCCUUAUUCUCUAGAGUAAUUUCCACCACUUAAAUUAUUUUACAGAGGAAUUAUUCAUAUUGUUUCAUAAAGAUAUUUUUCUAUUUGCUUGCUUCAGAUUUUAAACCAUGCCUGAAUUUCUGGAACACGCUUAUGUAGAUUACAGGCAUAUCUUUCUUUUUUCAAGACAGUUAGCAUUAAAAAAAUAGAAGCCUUUUUUUCCUUAUGUUCUGCAAAAUUUUUGGUGUUCAAUACUUUCUACUUUAAUUUUUUGUAAUUGUGUUGCAAUUUUUUUUCAAAUAUAUUCUCUUCACAAAAUUAUUUCUCUAUUCAGGCUGGAAGCAAAAAAACAGGAUUUGCUUAUAAAUCCUUGAGAGAGGAAGAUACAACCAUCCCUGAACUUAGAAGAGUUAACCAGACACACAAAACAAAUUAAAAAAUAGUGAGCUCCUAGCACCUGGAGACCUGCCAGGGGCAAUUAAAGGUCAGUCGCAGCUGUGACUGGUUAUUAAAAAAGGGCUUUUGUAGGAAGUGAAGUUUUGAGUCCCCAUAGGAGGUCUUAGUGUUGUGGAGAGAGUGGUUGGUUGAAGAGCUGGUGUGAAACUUCACACUUCCUGCAUGCAAAAAAAAUGUUGCAUCAGAAGUCAGCGAUGGUUCCACAGACAACAAGGGAAGAAAAUAGUUGUUAAUGAGUGGCUGCUAAGGGAAGAGUUUGGCUUUGCAAUGUCCAGCUAUCAUGACAGAUAUGUUACCAUUGACUCUGGAUUUUGCCACCCUGAAAUCUCCUCAAGCCAAGAGAGGGAACCUGAAAAAGACCACCUAUAGGAACACUUGCACCCUGCCCCUGACCUGGACAUCUUCAACUAUGAAGAAGCUAUUCCUGGCUGCUUCUUGUUUUAGGCUUGAAAACUUCAAGGAUGGGAACUAUGCAGUGUCCUUGGAUAACCUGCUCCAGUGUUCCACCAGCCACAUCUUUUGGAGGCAGCCUUUUUUCUAAAUUCCACUUUGAACCUCCCAAACCUUGAUUUGUGGCUGUGACAGAUCCCUCUUACUAUAUUCAGUGCCUCUUGCCUGAAAAAAAUCUUAGUCUAGGCUCAUCAGCCUUGAUGAAAGGAAAACAGGAAAUCUAGGUUCUGAUGCCUAUCUAAAUUGUAUCCUUUGAUCUGGAGUCUCCACUACUAAAAGUUUUAAUUUCUAGACUUGUAAAUGUUCUGAAAUAAGUUUUUGUCUAACACUGGUUUUUAAAAAAUACUUCUAUAUAUGAAAUUGGUUUUUUCUGUACCUGGCAAUUUUCAGCUGUUCUGGUUUAUGUUCUAAUUUAGAAAUAGCUGCAAAAAAAUAGAAGUAAACAUGAGAUUUAGCAUUCCCUGUUGUGUUUUUCCUUUCCUACUUUAUUCACCAGAAUGUACUAUGUAGAUUGCGGUAGUAAGGAUGAUUUCCUGGAAGCUACUUUUGGAACAUUUUGAAGGUGAUCCUCCUUAGUGCCAAGAGAAGCAAAGUGGUUCUGUGUUGAAAUGUUGAGUGAUUAUAAUAAAAAAAUAAAUCCAGUGUAACUAAAUGUCAGCUUUGUGCAAAUAACAUAAGUAACUUAACGACUCAAAUUCAGAGUUCUUAAUAAGUAAAGAUUUCUAACUCUUCCAUAUUUUAUCUAUUAUAUUAUUGCAUUGUGCUAUUUAAGACAGCAGUGUUCUGUUAUUUUUCUACUAGUCUGACACCUAAUGUGCUUUCCUUUGGGUUGGUAGAAAAAGAUGAUUUUUAUGGCAAUUCACACUUAAAAGAAGAAAAGCUGUCCUUCAUUUUAAUGACUAUUGAGCCAUAUUAUAGAUAUAUUAUGCCUUUUUUAGUUAAACAGAAGAUUUUGAGUUUCCUCUAAUGACACUAGAGACUAAACUCCUCUGUAGAAAGAAGUUUCAGUAAAGUAUCGUGUGGCUUCCAUUUUAGUCUGUAGUUUUCAGAAAGGGUGUUAAUUUUUAUUUUUGCAAUACAAAUAGAAUGCCAGUGCAAUGUUCUUGGUGCUGGCAAAAACUGAUGCUGCCCUUGAAGUACUACACGUGAUCAGUAGAGAGGAAGUACUACCCACGCAUGCAGGGCAAAAAGUUUAAAGCAACUUUUUUGUCAAUAGGAAAAAUGGGUGUCCUCAGAAAUAUGCAUAAGCAAUUUCAUCUGUGAGCUGUAAAAGAACUGAUCAUAGCAACAGGCAUGCGUUAAGGGUUGUAUUUACACUGCGAAAUUUUGGCUUAAAAACUGCAUAAUAAAUGUUGAGGAAGUGGUUUGUGUUCAGCAGCAUGCUAGUGCAGUGAUGCAUCUCCAGAAAAAUGCUGUAGAAAGCAGAGUGUGUCUUUAACUUGAG